rnacentral:rRNA from 1 species
UACAGAGGGGGCAAGCGUUGUUCGGAAUUACUGGGCGUAAAGAGUGUGUAGGCGGUGUUCCAAGUCUGGUGUGAAAUCUCCCGGCUUAACUGGGAGGGUGCAUUAGAAACUGGAAUGCUAGAGGAUGGGAGAGGUAAGCGGAAUUCCUGGUGUAGCGGUGAAAUGCGUAGAUAUCAGGAGGAACACCUGUGGUGUAGACAGCUUACUGGACCAUUUCUGACGCUGAGACACGAAAGCGUGGGUAGCAAACAGG